UCCAACCCUUAGUCUGGGAACAUACAUAUGCCAUGUGUGCAGCCCUAAAAAGACCAAAAAAAAAAAGGCUAUACCCAGUGUUACAUAGAUCUUUGUGUGUAGACAUCCUGAUGGCCAGCUCAGCUAUCUUUCCCUGUAUCUCUACGGUGUCAGAAAAGUGCUCGGGGGAGUUCCCCUUGUGGCUCAGUGGAAACAAACCCGACUAGGAUCCUUGAGGAUGCAGGUUCCAUCCCUGGCCUCACUCAGUGGGUUCAGGAUCCGGCUUUGAAGUGAGCUGUGGGGUAGGUGGCAGCGCUGGGUGCCUCUGGGAAAAACUGCCCUGGUGUAAGGGCUGCCACUGCCAUCUUGGACCAAGAUAUAAAAUUGGUCUCUCCAGCCAUUUGGACCAAGGUAUAAAACUGACCCUGGAACGGAGAGGUCAGGGAAUUCAAGAAAAUUAGAAUUCGUGAUAUUAACAUGUAUUUAAAGUGUUUGACUUCUAGGGAACAUGUUAAUUGUUUUCGUAUUCUAAAGAGAAUUCGUCCGUUGAAAAGCCUAUAACCAUGUUUUCCAGAUAGUGACAAAAAGCCAUCUUUGAAAACCUACGUACAAUUAAGCUUUUUUAAAAAAAAUUCUUAAACUUAUGAUUAAAUUGAAAAUAGUCCUGAGUCAUUCUGCAAACUCACUGAAGACCCAGGAGUGUGGUGGAGGUUUCAGGAGGGCACCCUAUCUAGGGCCUGAGUGUGGCUUUGGGGGACUUAGCGAGCUCGGGAAAGCGCCAGUAGAGGGCGCUUUGCCAGCUGCAAUCAGGGCUUGGGUGUCUGCUUUAAAUUUCACAAUAAAUCUAACUUGAGAGUGAGUGUAACCCUAAUAUAAAUUAUACUAUAAGAUAGGGACUUUUUUCCUCUCAUAAGUGAAAGGUUACCUUCCUUUUGGAUCAAUACUGAGCAUAAUUAUAUCUGCUCGCCCUUGUUACGCUUUACAAAAGCAUUUCCAAAUAUUCCCAACUGCCUCCUAGACUUGUGGGAAGGGUGAUAGUUCCUUUUGAGAAAAACUACUCAAUUCUGAAAGACAUGCCUUUUAAAAAAAAAAAACAGGAAGAGCCAGUACCGACUAUGAAAGUCCGCUGUGAAAUUCUGAAUUCUUCAUGUCUCCAUUCACAAUGUCCUGAUAAUUUUUCCCAGUUGUCAUCUGUCUUUUUCCCAGUUCCAUCCAGGAAUGAAUGGUAACUGCAUUCCUGGAUCUUUGUAGAAAAGAAAUCUCUUACUGCAGUAAUCAUUUCUCAAGAUAUAUAUUUUUAGCAAAUCAUCACAAUGCCCAUUUUAAACAAAAGUUGUAUGUCAGCUCUAAAGGAACCAAAAUAAUAACCUCAAAAUUAAAGACAUACUAUUUCAAUAAUAUAUAAGGUUGAAGUUUUAAUUCAUGAUAAAAUCGAAGAGGUGUUUUUCCUUUUUUUUUUUUUUUUUCUCCAACCAGUAAAGAGAUUUUAAUUUUAGUUUAGGAACAACAGAAGAGGGGGAAAAAAAACACGUUUGCUUAAAGCCUCUUUGGAUAGCAAUGCCUGCCCUUAAGAGAUGACGUAUUCCUUUCCACUGUUAAAAAGAAACAGCAGGCCCCUAAUGGAGUCCCUGUGUAAAGCCCACGUCACCAGCACCAAACCAACUUAUUACCUAACCUAAUUGCAGUCCUACCUUCCCAGAAAUGUUACCUUUAACCAGUCAACCUGAAAUGACCAGGUCAGCAUGAAAGGAGAGCGACCUUGCCUGAAACAAUGCAUUCUUUGCUAAUAAUUUCCUUUUCCCACCCCCUUUCCACCUUUAAAACCCCUUCCUUUUUCUAUGCCAUAGAGGAGGGCCUUUCUAUUUGCCAGAUGGGGUGCUGCCCGAUGCAUGAAUUGUUUGCAGGUCCUUUCUAGUCAAAGUGAGUGCUUCUGAAUAAUAAAUGUGAAGAAACCUCAGGUCCAGCCUGACCUUCGUAUUGAUGACACAGCCACGCAUGUAAAAGGAAAGACCUGAACACGCAGCUAAUUCCCCCCUCCUUUCUCCUUAACUGGAGGAUCUCAGCUCCUGUUGGGAAGGUAAGCUCCCCUUAUUUUACCUAAAUAAGGGGAGCUUAUUUUACCUUAAAUAAGCUCCCCUUAUUUUACCUUCUCGUUGCUGAACGAAUGAUAACGUGGACACAAGACAUUCACAGGAGAAAAAUAACAAUUUUCAUUCACGGGCAUGGAGAUCUCAUAGAAAUGGGGACUAAGAUGUAGCCAGAGCAGGCAGCUUUUAUACUUCUUAGAUUAAAAAAAAAAAAAAUUUAGGAGAAAUUAUCCUAUCAGGAUAAUUGGGAUAAACCUAAAAAAGUGAGGGUUUUGGUGCCCAGUGACCGAAGACUCUAAGUAGAAUUGGGGUUGUGGUGGUGAAUUAAGGAAGUAACAAGGUUGGAUGAUACAAGCAUCUCAGCCGCCAAUUUCUGAUUCUGGCAAUAAGGGCGUCGUCCUUCUACCUCUAGAGUACAGAGCGAACCUUCCACGUGAGAGAUGCGUUCCCUGCUCUCAGGGUGACAGAAAAGAGGACCAGAGUAUCCCUCUCGCAUUGGCCAUUUCUUAAAACUUUUGCUCAAAAUAAUCGAUAUGGCAUGGAGGCAUAUUUUGGGACAGCUCCCUGGGCCCCAACAGUUCCCUCCUCUGAAACUUCCCUGCCAGCUGCAGAGGGAGAGAAAGCGUCAGUGGAGACCUCCCUGCCACUGACCGGUUCUCAGUUCUGAGAAGAGUUCGGUUCGGUUCAGGAGGCGGUGAUGCCGAUGGGCUCCCAGAGCUAGAACUACGGUACAAGCAAUCAAGUCUUUAAGAAGAGGCCUUCCUAUGGAAACAAAAGGAAAGAACAAUGGUAAAUGAAAUGGAGCAGAUUAUAAACCAGUUUCAGAGCCCCAGAGGCAGCCAGCUGAGAUUUCUCCAUGUCAGGGUCAAAGCAUCUUUUCAGUUGGAAAUGUCUCUGAUGCUGUCAGUGGGUGUUCAGGUAAACUUUCUGAGUGGCUCAUUCAGCAACAGACGCAAGGGUUGUUGAAAUGGGAUCUGCUGUCGUCAUUUCUCGGAAGUUUAUAUCAUCAUCUAGCUUCAGUUUGCAGGAUUUCAGGAAAAAGGCUGUUUCAGUUCUCAAUGACUCCAAGUCAAAAGGAUGGAAGAAAAUUGGAAACAUUAGUUUAGAGCUGCAGCCAGAUGUUGGAGGAAACUAGAAGAACUAAGGACCAAGUCCAGUUUUCAGGUGUGUGUACGAGGAGAGGGUUGAUGGAAGGAGGAGCGUUGGCUGGAAGACGUCUGUGAAGGAAUCCUUGGCAAACCUGUCAGCUCAGUGUAUGUGUGGAAAAGGAGAUCCGUGGACUGAUCCAAAUUAAGGUGCAGCCAUUAAAGAAAAAGAAGAAGAAAAAGAAAACAGGAG